rnacentral:rRNA from 1 species
AAUGAACGUUGGCGGUGCGCCUUAUGCAUGCAAGUCGAACGGGGUUACAGUCUUCGGAUUGUAACCUAGUGGCGGACGGCUGAGUAACGCGUAAGUAACCUGCCUUAGAGUGGGAAAUAACCUGCCGAAAGGCAAGCUAAUGUCCCAGUGGUAACGAAGCGAAUGCUUUGUUAUUAAAGCCUUAGGGUGCUCGAAGAGGGACUUGCGUCUGAUUAGCUAGUUGGUAGGGUAAUGGCCUACCAAGGCGAUGAUCAGUAGCUGGUCUGAGAGGAUGGUCAGCCAGAUGGGGACUGAGACACGGCCCCAACUCCUACGGGAGGCAGCAGCAAGGAAUCUUGGGCAAUGAGCGAAAGCUUGACCCAGCGACACCGCGUGAGGGAUGAAGGCCUUCGGGUUGUAAACCUCUUUUCUUGGGGAAGAAUUCUGACGGUACCCAAGGAAUAAGCCUCGGCUAACUACGUGCCAGCAGCCGCGGUAAGACGUAGGAGGCGAACGUUAUUCGGAUUUACUGGGCGUAAAGGGAGCGUAGGCGGUUCCUUAAGUCAGAUGUGAAAUCUUCUGAUUCAAUCAGAAGGCGUCAUUUGAUACUGAGGGACUUGAGAGCAACAGAGGGAAAUGGAAUCCCCAGUGUAGCGGUGAAAUGCGUAGAUAUUGGGAGAACACCAGUGGCGAAGGCGAUUUCCCAGGUUGUUUCUGACGCUGAGGCUCGAAAGCGUGGGGAGCGAAGCGGAUUAGAUACCCGCGUAGUCCACGCCGUAAACGGUGGACACUAGAUAUGGGGAGUAUCGACCCUUUCCGUGUCGAAGCUAACGCCUUAAGUGUCCCGCCUGGGGAGACGGCCGCAAGGCU